AUCAUGAGUUCACAUGUCCGCAUGAUUAAAGGUAUUUUCCGGUAGACGAUGGGGAUGCGUUCCAUUAGAUAGUAGGCGGGGUAACGGCCCACCUAGUCAACGAUGGAUAGGGGUUCUGAGAGGAAAGUCCCCCACAUUGGAACUGAGACACGGUCCAAACUCCUACGGGAGGCAGCAGUGAGGAAUAUUGGUCAAUGGGCGAUGGCCUGAACCAGCCAAGUAGCGUGAAGGAUGACUGCCCUAUGGGUUGUAAACUUCUUUUAUAAAGGAAUAAAGUCGGGUAUGCAUACCCGUUUGCAUGUACUUUAUGAAUAAGGAUCGGCUAACUCCGUGCCAGCAGCCGCGGUGAUACGGAGGAUCCGAGCGUUAUCCGGAUUUAUUGGGUUUAAAGGGAGCGUAGAUGGAUGUUUAAGUCAGUUGUGAAAGUUUGCGGCUCAACCGUAAAAUUGCAGUUGAUACUGGAUGUCUUGAGUGCAGUUGAGGCAGGCGGAAUUCGUGGUGUAGCGGUGAAAUGCUUAGGUAUCACGAAGAACUCCGAUUG
rnacentral:rRNA from 1 species